GUAUAAACCUAAAAUAAAGGUGUCAUGUAUUGACUUAAAAGGGAAUUUGGUAAUCAAACCAAAACUGUACCCGCAACUGUGAUUGCUGAUGAAAUAAGCACAUCCACUGUAUGAACGAAAAGGCUUACAUAAGCUUAUUAUACGGGAAGGGCUUAGAGUAGAGAGACGCAAAAGUCAGGAGACCUGCCUUUUAUUGAGACGUUUU
rnacentral:ncRNA from 2 species